rnacentral:rRNA from 1 species
GUCUAUGGCCAUGCCACCCUGAACAAGCCCAAUGUCUGAUCUCGGAAGCUAAGCAGAGUCGGGCCUGGUUAGUACUUGGAGAGGAGACCACCUAAGAAAAUCAGGUGCUGUAGGCA